UUGAACGCUGGCGGCAUGCCUUACACAUGCAAGUCGAACGGUAGAGGGGCAACCCUUGAGAGUGGCGAACGGGUGAGUAAUAUAUCGGAACGUGCCCAGUCGUGGGGGAUAACGCAGCGAAAGCUGCGCUAAUACCGCAUACGAUCUAUGGAUGAAAGCGGGGGAUCGCAAGACCUCGCGCGAUUGGAGCGGCCGAUAUCAGAUUAGGUAGUUGGUGGGGUAAAAGC
rnacentral:rRNA from 1 species